ensembl:lncRNA
CUGCCAUUAGGGUUACACUGCUAUGACCAUUUAGGAUGGAAGUGAAAGAGGCAUUAAUUAAGCAAUAAUGAUCAAGGUAUGGGGCAUUUCCUGGGGAUUAAUGACCGGCUGGGAGGAGUUGAUAGCCCACAGUUCGGCCAAGGGUCAUUAACCCCAGCUGGUCAUCAAUUCCUAUGACCUGCUUUAUAGUCAUUAUUGCUAUCAUAAGCCGAAAAUGAAAAGCAAAUGGGUCUAUGGAUUACUUUUAUGGAUGGUGCUGUUUCAAUUGGUAUCUAUAGGGCAUUUCUGGAGAAUGAAUGCUCUGUCCACAAGCCAAUUGGAUAUCUCAACAUUCCAUUCUACUUAUGUUGCUGCUUUGGACAAGCAAAGGAUGAAGCAGAGGAUUUUGUGGGUAUGAAAUUGAGAAGCUAAAAGCAGCAGCCUAGAAGACAGACUCAGUGUCAAGACCGUUGAAUCGCUGUUCUGGCCUACCACACCCCUGCUGUUCCCAUCCCGAUCUAUUCUUGAUCAAAGCUCACCACGUGUUCAGGAGGACUGGGCAGGAGCUCAGAGAGUUAGGCACUUGCUGCCACCUAACACCUUUUUCAUGCUAAACUCAAUCAGAUCUAACAUGGUGAGAUGAAAGGUUAACGACCUACUACAUUUCCUAGAUUGCUCCAACUGGCUCUCGGUUUGGGAGAGACUGUCCACCUCCCUCCUCCCCACCCCCACUUGCCCAUCAGCCCUUGCUGAGCGACCAUCUGCAGCCACAUUGCAAAGGAGUAAUGUGUGCACUGUGGUCUGUCUCCAUCCAAGCAAGAAGACAAAGGGUGUAAAUUAAACGUGUGCUCUCCAAUGACCCCUGGCUUUUCUGUGUGGCCCAUCAAAGCUCUAGCAGGCCAGGUGAGGGGAUUGGCAAAGAGGGUUAGAAUUUCAAGGGGAGAAGCUGUCAUAUGCCCCGAAGCAAAAAAGUCCUCUUUCCAAUCAAGAGUGAGUGGUUUGUGUUAAACUGUAAGUGAUGGUGGAGAUUGGGUUAAGGAUUUUUUUUUUAUUGUUUCAAGUAAAAUUGGGCAAGAGGGCUUUGUCCUUAGCUUGCAAAGAUGUGCUGCGUUUUCCUGAGCGGGGGUCCUGCAAACAUUGCCAGGGUAGCUGAUGAGACCUGGUUUAGAGGCGCAGAAGGAUAGUGGCGGUUAUUCUUAUUGUUAAAAAUAUGUAUUUUAAUGCCUUUGUUGUUUUUGUUUGUUUUGUUUUGUUUUACGUCAGCCAUUUCUGGGACUCUGCCCUGUUCCCUCAACCUUUCUUUUAUCAAAGAAAAACAAUUAAGCCAAAAAACAAAAACAAAACACCAGAGUCAGUGACUGCUUCUGAAAAUUAAUCAGUCAUCGAACAAAUUACUCGACCUCUCUGGACCUCAGAUUUUUCAUCUGUAAAAUGAAGAGGCUGGAUUAGAUGGUCUCCAUCCGAGGUCCCUUCCCGGUUCUACAUUUAUGCUCCUACGAUCAAAUUUUAAGAGCUUAUUAUAUGACAAGCACUGUGCUCGGCACAGGAGAUAAAAAGACAACAAUGAAAUAAUCUCUGCCCUCAAGGAGCUCACAUUCUGUGGAGGAAGCAGAAAUGCACACGCUACAUAUAACAUUCUCCCCCAGCUCUCCCCUCCCCCUACUCCCUACCGAGAAGAGAUUUAUUUACUUAUCUGCUGUCAAAAACCUUUAUUUGUUUUUCAGUUACGAAGAGUAUGACUUCUUUUCAGUGGUGUCUUCAUUUAAGUUGUUGUAGUCACUAAGAACAUGUUUUUCUUUUGGUUUGACUCUGUAAUAAUUCAAACAAAUCUCCCCAUGUUUCUUAUAAUUGUUAUUUCUUGUUGAACAAUAAAAGUAGGAAAUUG